rnacentral:tRNA from 34 species
GCGGAUGUAGCCAAGUGGAUCAAGGCAGUGGAUUGU